UACGGAGGGAGCUAGCGUUAUUCGGAAUUACUGGGCGUAAAGCGCACGUAGGCGGCUUUGUAAGUAAGAGGUGAAAGCCCGGAGCUCAACUCCGGAACUGCCUUUUAGACUGCAUCGCUUGAAUCCAGGAGAGGUGAGUGGAAUUCCGAGUGUAGAGGUGAAAUGCGUAGAGAUCGGGAGGAACACCUGUGGCGAAGGCGGCCCCCUGGGCCGCGCCUGACGCUGAGACGCGAAAGCGCGGGGAGCGAACGGG
rnacentral:rRNA from 1 species